rnacentral:rRNA from 1 species
GACGAACGCUGGCGGCGUGCUUAACACAUGCAAGUCGAACGGAAAGGCCCUGCUUUUGUGGGGUGCUCGAGUGGCGAACGGGUGAGUAACACGUGAGUAACCUGCCCUUGACUUUGGGAUAACUUCAGGAAACUGGGGCUAAUACCGGAUAGGAGCUCCUGCUGCAUGGUGGGGGUUGGAAAGUUUCGGCGGUUGGGGAUGGACUCGCGGCUUAUCAGCUUGUUGGUGGGGUAGUGGCUUACCAAGGCUUUGACGGGUAGCCGGCCUGAGAGGGUGACCGGCCACAUUGGGACUGAGAUACGGCCCAGACUCCUACGGGAGGCAGCAGUGGGGAGUAUUGCACAAUGGGCGGGAGCCUGAUGCAGCGGCGCCGCGUGCGGGAUGACGGCCUUCGGGUUGUAAACCGCUUUCGCCUGUGACGAAGCGUGAGUGACGGUAAUGGGUAAAGAAGCACCGGCUAACUACGUG